AGUGAACGCUGGCGGCAGGCCUAACACAUGCAAGUCGAGCGGCAGCGCGGAUGUAGCAAUACAUCUGGCGGCGAGCGGCGGACGGGUGAGGAAUGCGUCGGAAUCUGCCUCUUUGUGGGGGAUAACGUAGGGAAACUUACGCUAAUACCGCAUACGACCUACGGGUGAAAGUGGGGGACCUUCGGGCCUCACGCAGAGAGAUGAGCCGACGCCGGAUUAGCUAGUUGGCGGGGUAAAGGCCCACCAAGGCGACGAUCCGUAGCUGGUCUGAGAGGAUGAUCAGCCACACUGGAACUGAGACACGGUCCAGACUCCUACGGGUGGCUG
rnacentral:rRNA from 1 species